rnacentral:rRNA from 1 species
AGUGAACGCUGGCGGUAGGCCUAACACAUGCAAGUCGAACGGCAGCACAGUAAGAGCUUGCUCUUACGGGUGGCGAGUGGCGGACGGGUGAGGAAUACAUCGGAAUCUACUUUUUCGUGGGGGAUAACGUAGGGAAACUUACGCUAAUACCGCAUACGACCUACGGGUGAAAGCAGGGGAUCUUCGGACCUUGCGCGAUUGAAUGAGCCGAUGUCGGAUUAGCUAGUUGGCGGGGUAAAGGCCCACCAAGGCGACGAUCCGUAGCUGGUCUGAGAGGAUGAUCAGCCACACUGGAACUGAGACACGGUCCAGACUCCUACGGGAGGCAGCAGUGGGGAAUAUUGGACAAUGGGCGCAAGCCUGAUCCAGCCAUACCGCGUGGGUGAAGAAGGCCUUCGGGUUGUAAAGCCCUUUUGUUGGGAAAGAAAAGCAGCAGGUUAAUACCCCGCUGUUCUGACGGGACCCAAAGAAGAAGCACCGGCGAACUUCGU